rnacentral:rRNA from 1 species
UUGAGUCUCGGUCGUUGGCGCCAUUAUGCCUCCCCCAAUCGCAACAAGCCUUAAUGCCCCGCAUUUCGCGCGCAUCCGCCUAAUCAGUCAAUCUCCACUAUAGGGUCUCUAGUUGGGACCUUGACGGAAAUUAUGACGAUCAGAACUCAAGCUCUCUCCACUCACCUUAAGGCUCACAUCUCCACUUUAAGCAUCUAUAUUCCCUCCUUGUGGUCACCGCUUCCGCCGAGUGACCGAGCUAUGACUGCGACUCCACGCUUUCACACCCCUCGUAAGUCCUAAUCUAUGGGACAUCAGGUGUGGCA